rnacentral:pre_miRNA from 1 species
AAAGUACACCCUCCGUCCCAAAAUUCUUGUCUUAGAUUUGUCUAGAUAUGGAUGUAUCAAAUAACAUUUUAGUAUUAGAUACAUCCGUAUCUAGACAAAUCUAAGACAAGAAAUUUGGGACAGAGGGAGUAGUUG